rnacentral:miRNA from 1 species
UCCAUGUGGUUUUAGGACACGA